rnacentral:tRNA from 2 species
GGCGCCAUAGCCAAGCGGUAAGGCAUGGGUCUGCAAAACCCUGAUCGCCGGUUCGAAUCCGGCUGGCGCCU